GCGGGUGUAGCUCAAUGGUAGAGCAUCAGCUUCCCAAGCUGAGGGUUGUGAGUUCGAGUCUCAUCACCCGCU
rnacentral:tRNA from 1 species